CAAUACUCCCGCCGGCGACCGGCGCACGGGUGAGUAACACGUAUGAAACCUGCCCGUAGCAGGGGGAUAAGCGGAAGAAAUUCCGUCUAAUACCGCGUAACAACCCGAGGAGGCAUCUCCUCGGGUUUAAAGGAAGCGAUUCCGGCUACGGAUGGUCAUGCGUCGCAUUAGCUAGUUGGCGGGGUAACGGCCCACCAAGGCGACGAUGCGUAGGGGUUCUGAGAGGAAGGUCCCCCACAUUGGAACUGAGACACGGUCCAAACUCCUACGGGAGGCAGCAG
rnacentral:rRNA from 1 species